AACUGCUCCUCGAUGCUUAAGGAACUCAACAGAAAAAAGGAUUAGAACUACACUCGACAUGAUGAAAUAGUAAAUAAUCACUUAAUUGAUAGUAUUUCCAAUGCAUCCAGCUUCAAAACCUAAUACAACCUAAGUAGCGGCCUUGCACUAAACUAUCAAGUAAGUUAUAUUGGACUAGUGACGUUUUUGGACUUGAAAUAAACAGGGUCACCGCAAAAUACAGGAACACAUAUGCUGACAAAGACUACACGUGAAAGGUAUUUCAGCAAGAAUUUACGAAAUAAAGGCAGAUUAAAAAAAAUUCAACAUAAUUUAGACUACAACAGGCUUUCCUUUCUUAUUACUCGCAUUCAACAAGAAAAAGUAAAGACUUUUGUCAUAACACUAAGUUCUAACAUAAGGAUAGAAUUAGGUUUUAACAUAAGGAUCGUAUAUUGGGUAUUUGAAUGCGUAUAUGAGCAAAGUGGAGAGCUGAUUUCUUCAAACUACUAUUUUUUUUAAUGUAGGAAAUAAUGCAAGAAAGCAAAAAUAGGUUAGUUUGAGGGAAUCCAGAUUCCAGAAACAAGAAUGAGUUAAACAAAACCAACAAUUUUCAAAAAAAAACUCUGCACAAUUUUGUUGUUAAGCCUUCAUCAAUUUAUACACCUGGGCUACCUUUGUUUGCAAAGAUGGUGAUUGUACUAAUUUAUAACUAUUAUGGGCCCACGAUUAAAUAUAAAUGGCGUUACAUUAGUACAAAUAAUCCUAUCCAAUCCAUAUUUUUGCAAACAAACUUAGAGACUCCAACAGUAUGCACUUUAACACCCUCUGAAUAUAAGUUUCACUUGCAGAAAAACAUCAUUCGGUCUACAGCACAUGAUGAAUUACAGGUCUCAAUGAAGGAAACAAGCAAUUUAUGUAAAGAAACAAUAAGUUUUCAAAAAAUGAAAAAUUAAAAACCCUAGCAAUUGAAUAAUAUACAGAUAGAAGAAAGAGCCGCUGUACCUCAGAUAAUGGAAUUGUAGGAAUUUGGCUGAUGGGUAUAUAGACUCAGAGGUUAAAGAUUACAAUUUUAUGAUUAGAAUUUUGGUUAUACUGUAUAUACACACAAUGGAGGAGGAGGAAGGAGACGGUGGGUGAUAGGGAAAUCGGGUGAAAGUGGUAAUGGAUAGAUCCAGAUAGAAUAAAUGGGUAACCCAAUUGACCCGUCAAAAUUACAUUUUUGACACUGGCGUACACACGCGGGAGUAGUAUAUGUGUACACGCGUACUUUUGUGUUUUUUAAGCUUUAAAUAAACCUCCGCUCAAUUGUUUUGCCCUA
rnacentral:lncRNA from 1 species